CCCGCCUUAAAACGCGCCAAGGCUGCCCCCGGCUUUCGGAAUAACUCCAAGCGCCUCAUCGUGUCCCCCAAAGCGCCCCCUGGGCUAGCCCAGCCUCUCUCUCUCAUCAUCUUCCUGUCCUGGGCCAAACUGCCCGCUCGCUUCUGCUUCGGGAGCCUCGCCACCCCUGACAUCCUGGACUAGAGGACUUUUUGGUGUGUGGACUGCCCUAUACAUUACUCCGAGUUGCCCACUCUGGGUGUUUUCUUCACUCCUCUGUCGUCUGCCCUCCCUGAGCUGGAAGCUAGCUGGCCAAUGUUGUAGAGUGGACGCACUGAGUAUCUCAUUUAAUCUUUGCAAGAACCCUUUGAGGGAAACACCAGAUGAACGUAAGGGGACUCCAUGCGCCUCCAUGGAGGAAGAAGCCUGGUGAAGGAGAAGAGUGACGUUUCUGCGCCUCCUUCUCCUGUCUGCUGCAGGCCUCUGGCCUUCUUGCCACAUCUCAAGACACCUGGCUCCUGCCUGGGGCCUUUAGCCUGGCUCUUGCCUCUGCUUUAAGCCAGGGCACUUACGAACUGCCUAGAUAUCACAUCAUUCUUCCUUAUCAUGUUCACUGCCGAUUAUCUGACCACCUCCCACUAGAAUGUGCUCAACUAAUAUUUGAUGUGGAAAUGGUUGAUGAGUGAAUAAAUAACAGGAGAAAAGCCUUGGUUCCAGGAUGGCUGCUGACUCACAGCUAAAAAACAUCACCUCUAUGGAGUUUCUGAGUGACUCUAAUUUCACAUGCGGAGGUGAGCUCAUGUGAUUAAGAGCCAAAAAGCCUUCCAGGGACAUGCCCUCUGGACUGUUAAUGAAAUGAGGGCCAGGGGUGACACUGAGGCAGCGUCAUGCACAACCAUUGAAUGACACCAUCCCUCCAGUGCACGCCCAGGAAGCAAUCUGGACUCUAAAUGCUCACUCUACUGAGCUGUGUGCAAACGUCCUGCUUUCACUGAGAGCCUGACACUUGCAGCUCUAUGAAAUUGUGUGUGUAAAACUCAACAUCUGAAAAGAGUAGAGGAAAUCCCUUAUGCAAAGGAGACACGAAGAAAACACCAGCAUUGUGGCGGCUUGUGCUGUAAAGACUGAGGGUUGUUGUUUGCUUCGAGGUUCAUUGCAGAAGUGUUCUUCACCAUUAGAUGCCGGUGUGAUUAAUUAAAUAUGCACACGCUGACAUUCUCUGGUGCGAGCUUACAAACAUUGCAAGUCUAACCUUUUAAAAAACUACCCAUGAUGGCUCAGGCCCAAGGAGAGGCAGCACCAAAGGAAGCUUUGCAAAAGAAUCUCUGGUGAAAGUCAAAGGUCAGCAGCAUUUUGUGGGCAGAGAAGGACAGAAUCUUGGUUUCUGGGACAAGCUAGGCCCUGAGAAAACCCACGCCACAUGUUUAUACCUGGCCUGGAUUUGCAAAAUCCACAGCCCUGUUCUGCUCCCUGCACAGUCAACAGGCAUUACCUGGGCUCGCGGGAGGCCACGCCCAUGACCUCUGUCCGGCCACUAUGACAGCCCUGCCCCCGCUUGCCCCGCAUCCCUAAACUUUCUCAUCACACAGUUUCUUUCUGACCUACCUCCUCCUCCUCUUUAUAUUGUUUCUUCUCAGGAGAGGAUGAUCCUAAGUCUUUCAUUCAUCUUCUCUGCUCCCCGAGUCCUGUAACCGCUCCCCAGUCCCCUGCUCCUUUCUAUGCUCUGGUCAUGACCUGGGGCGCAGUAACCAAACUGCUUUGAUCUAGAACCUGCUGUGCCCCUCACCAUCUGUAGGGCUCAGGAUGAAUCUCCUCUGUCUUCUCGUUAGUAAAAUGUGGCAACACUAACAACAUUUGGGGGCCUGACCUCUGAGAUCGUCCACAUAAAGUGUGGGGUGCCUCUUAGCCAUUGCUAUCACUAUCUUCACAUGCAGGAGCCCACUUAUCUUUCAAGUCUCUGGUGAGACUAUCAUGUUCUUCAAAGCCUCUUCAGCUUUCCCCAACAGAUGCAAUGGCGCUUGUUUGUCAAUUUAAGCUCUGGUGAUCCUAGAGGGGUACUUUUCUUACC